CCUACGGGGGGCUGCAGUGGGGAAUAUUGGACAAUGGGCGAAAGCCUGAUCCAGCCAUGCCGCGUGUGUGAAGAAGGCCUUCGGGUUGUAAAGCACUUUCAGUGGGGAAGAAAGCCUUGGGGCUAAUACCCUCGAGGAAGGACAUCACCCACAGAAGAAGCACCGGCUAACUCCGUGCCAGCAGCCGCGGUAAUACGGAGGGUGCGAGCGUUAAUCGGAAUUACUGGGCGUAAAGCGCGCGUAGGCGGUCUGAUAAGCCGGUUGUGAAAGCCCCGGGCUCAACCUGGGAACGGCAUCCGGAACUGGCAGGCUAGAGUGCAGGAGAGGAAGGUAGAAUUCCCGGUGUAGCGGUGAAAUGCGUAGAGAUCGGGAGGAAUACCAGUGGCGAAGGCGGCCUUCUGGACUGACACUGACGCUGAGGUGCGAAAGCGUGGGUAGCAAACAGGAUUAGAUACCCCUGUAGUC
rnacentral:rRNA from 1 species